GCCAUCUUUGACAUAGGUCGAUAAAGAAAUACAAAGGCAGACAGAUGUAUUCCAUACACCGAAGAAAGAUAUCAGAAUAUCACAGUCCUGCAGCUUGUCAUAGAGAAUCCUUAUUUCAAUGCACACCCAUCCUGUGAACUUCUUCACAGAAGUUCCCUGCGGUUUACAGCUGCCAUAAGGUUUUAGGCUUUGACCGAGAAAACCUUCUUUGCCCGUCCAUCAGCUCCGUGGUCAGUAUUACCGUCUCCCACAUGGAAGAGAGGAAAUUGUAGGCUGCUGAGAAGGCAGGGGAAAGGGAAACAUGUCACAAAUACACAUUAGUGACUCAUUUCCUCCACGCCCCCUUGGACACUAAUGACAUUAAAAACAAGAGAAAACAGCCACAACGCAGCAGCUCCGUGUUCAGAGGAGGGCUUGAAGCAACGUCACCUCACAGAAACCCAGCUAAGACAAAGAGCUGCAACCACAUAAGAUCAUCACAGCCAGGGCCAGAAUAGCAAGCGGUGCACACACACCCCGCCCCACCCCUCCAUUUGAAAAAGAAAAUUCCACAUGCGCCUCUCCCUGGGAGCAAAAAUAUUCCAUCUUUAUAUUUUAUAUUAACCUUUCACAUCCGUUCUCAAUCAUCUUUCCCCCAUGUUAAAAAGUCUGUUGGUUUUAACCGUUUUGUUCUACAUAUGAUAAUCCGUUUUCCUAAAAAUUUGAGUUGUCCCCUUUUUUUUUUGCAGUGUAUUAAAACUGCAAUCUCACGCAUGUCAACUUAGAAGUAAGAAGUAGACUGCAGCCUAAAUCACUUUAAUUCUUUUUUUACUGGAAAUAUGGUGCUCCAUCCCUCCCUUCCAGCCUCACUUUGGGUUGACACAGUAAAGAAUUUUGAAAAUCAAUAA